GCAGCGGCUGAGUUUGCAGAACAUGCAAGCCUAGCUGCCAGUGCUGUUGUAGGAUGUUCAAGGCAAUAUUAUGUUCAUGAUGGUGGUUCAUGCCACUUAGGUUUAAGGAUGAAAGGUUGGAACAUGGGCAAGCGUUUCCUGGAGAUGGUAAUGGUAAUUUUUCUGUUGGCUAGCAGAAUUGGAACAUGAAAUUUAAGGAUACUACCUCUGCUGCUCAAGCAGCGACUGCGUUUGCAGAACAUGCAAACCUAGCUGCCAGAGUUGUUGGAGAACUUUCAAGGCAAUAUUGUAUUGAUGACGGUGGUUCAUGCUACUUAGGUUUCAAGGAUGAAAGGUUGGAACAUGGGCAAGCAUUUCCUGGAGAUGAUAAUGGUAAUUUUUCUGUUGGCAAGCAGAAUUGGAAUAUGAAAUUUAAGGAUACUACCUCUGCUGCUCAUGCAGCGGCUGAGUUUACAGAACAUGCAAGCCUAGUU
rnacentral:lncRNA from 1 species